CUCUCUCUCUCUCUCUCUGUCUCUCUCUGGAGUCUUACACACUGUCUCUGUUACUCCAGUAACCCUUAGCUUCCAGCCGCAUCGACUGUUUUUUACUGUAGAUCUCGGAACCAAAUGUCUGUUUCCUCUUUCUUAGCUGAGCGUUUCUAGUUGUUUUUUCAUCUAAAUGUUGGACGGGGUGAUCUCAAGGAUCUAAUCAGUAACGGAUCUCACUGGUUCAAGAAUCCGAACAAAAUUCAUAUUUAGGAGUUGCUGUUUUGAAAAUGGGGAAAUCUCCUGGGAAAUGGAUUAAGACUUUACUUUUUGGAAAGAAAACAGCUCGAUCCGACUCAUCAAAAGGAAGGGAGGCCUCGAAAACUGCAACUCAGAAAGAGGUAGCUGUGGAAAAAGCCACAAAUGUUUCGGAUGUAGAUUCUUCUGUGAACUCUGGACCGGUGUUUAUCAGCACCAGCAGUUAUGUGGUUAAUUCCGAAAUGGGGAACAGA